rnacentral:rRNA from 1 species
UGGGGAAUAUUGCACAAUGGGCGAAAGCCUGAUGCAGCAACGCCGCGUGAGUGAUGAAGGUCUUCGGAUUGUAAAGCUCUGUCUUUUGGGACGAUAAUGACGGUACCAAAGGAGGAAGCCACGGCUAACUACGUGCCAGCAGCCGCGAUAAUACGUAGGUGGCGAGCGUUGUCCGGAUUUACUGGGCGUAAAGGGUGCGUAGGCGGAUGUUUAAGUGAGAUGUGAAAUACCCGGGCUUAACUUGGGUGCUGCAUUUCAAACUGGAUAUCUAGAGUGCAGGAGAGGAGAAUGGAAUUCCUAGUGUAGCGGUGAAAUGCGUAGAGAUUAGGAAGAACACCAGUGGCGAAGGCGAUUCUCUGGACUGUAACUGACGCUGAGGCACGAAAGCGUGGGUAGCAAACAGGAUUAGAUACCCUGGUAGUCCACGCCGUAAACGAUGAGUACUAGGUGUAGGAGGUAUCGACCCCUUCUGUGCCGCAGUAAACACAUUAAGUACUCCGCCUGGGAAGUACGAUCGCAAGAUUAAAAC